GACCUCCUAAGCGGCCACAUUGUGAAGAAGCUGACCAACCACAAGGCAUGUGUGCGUGAUGUCAGUUGGCACCCCUUUGAGGAAAAGAUUGUCAGCAGUUCGUGGGAUGGGAAUCUGCGUCUUUGGCAGUACCGCCAGGCUGAGUACUUCCAGGAUGACAUGCCAGAGUCUGAGAAAGGUUCCAGUGCUCCCACUCCGGUGUCCUGCCCUUCUGUGGCCUUUUCUUCCCCUCAGUAGAUCUGACCUCCAGCUCUGUAGAGGGUGGAUUCUCAACAUAUUCUCUGCCUGUUCCUCCCUUUCCCCUUCUGGGGAGUAUGAGGAGGAGCUGAUGACAUUGGGUGGUGGAAACAAGCCCAGGGUCUGGGCCCAAGCUGAGCCUGGUCUACCCCCACCCCCAGGCCGAGAGGUUUCCUCACGCAUUCACACCCAGUCUGCUUGGAUUUCUAUCUGUAGCCAGAGUGUGGCAGGACAGCCUUUAUCUGGGGUGCAGCUUCUGCCAACAAGUCAAUUGUCGUGAGUGUUUUGAAUCAUGUUCCAAUGUUAGAUAUUGGCUCAUAGUGUAGAUCCCUGAGGUCUGAAUAGACCCAUCAGCAAUGCCCUUUGCCCAGGUCUUCACACUGAGGAUUAGAUUGGCCAAUCAGGGCUAAGUAUACUGGCCUUUCUUCCUUAGAUCUUUGAAGGAGGACAGGGUGGGUAGAGCUUGUUUCCUCGGCACCCUCUUGGGGUGAGUCUUUUCUCAUAAUUGGACUUUGGGGUUAGGAGACUAUGGUCCGAGAAGUAGGAGUCUCCAGAAGCUCUAUAUGGCCCUCCUUGCCAUUGGAUCCUAUCAUUGCUGGUGGCAGCAGCUUCAACAAGAGAGGUUAAAGCAGGACCUCUCACCUUUUCACUGGCUUUGGUUUUCCCAAUAAACUGUCUGUGGGAAACUGG